UGGGGAAUUUUGGACAAUGGGGGAAACCCUGAUCCAGCCAUCCCGCGUGUGCGAUGAAGGCCUUCGGGUUGUAAAGCACUUUUGGCAGGAAAGAAACGUCGCGGGUUAAUACCCCGCGAAACUGACGGUACCUGCAGAAUAAGCACCGGCUAACUACGUGCCAGCAGCCGCGGUAAUACGUAGGGUGCAAGCGUUAAUCGGAAUUACUGGGCGUAAAGCGUGCGCAGGCGGUUCGGAAAGAAAGAUGUGAAAUCCCAGAGCUUAACUUUGGAACUGCAUUUUUAACUACCGGGCUAGAGUGUGUCAGAGGGAGGUGGAAUUCCGCGUGUAGCAGUGAAAUGCGUAGAUAUGCGGAGGAACACCGAUGGCGAAGGCAGCCUCCUGGGAUAACACUGACGCUCAUGCACGAAAGCGUGGGGAGCAAACAGGAUUAGAUACCCUGGUAGUCCACGCCCUAAAACGAUGUCAACUAGCUGUUGGGGGCCUUCGGGCCUUGGUAGCGCAGCUAACGCGUGAAGUUGACCGCCUGGGGAGUNCGGUCGCAAGAUUAAAACUUAAAGGAAUUG
rnacentral:rRNA from 1 species